GUCCUGUGUCUUGUUCUGAUCACCUCAGGUGGUAUUGUGGGAGGGACGUGUCGUACUGCCAAUCAACUCAGCAGACGACUCAUCCGGAAGGGUACCCCAGUGGGGGGGAGUGUGUUCCACCGGCAAUCAGGUUGUAUUGCCGUUCACGAAUCUCGCCCAUGGCGUCCAUGCUUCCCUAAAAAGUGUGUAGUUGUGGGAGAUGGAUGCGUGAAUCUCUUCCAUAUUUCUGAUUGACUCUACUCUUGCUACCCAUUCUCUGAUCGUAGGAACCUCAGUAUGUUUCCACUUAACCGGGAUGAGCAGGUUGGCUGCAGUAAGAAGAUGUAGAAGGAGGGUUCUUUGUGUCUUGGGAAUUGGGAUAGGUAAGAUCAGGAACAGCAGAGUGUGGGGGGUAAGAGUCAGUUGUGUACCUGUUACAGUAUGGAUCAUCUUCACAAUGUUGGUCCAGUAACGUUGUGUGAGUGGGCAAUGCCACCAGAUGUGGGCUAGUGACGCUUUUGGUUGGGAGCAUUUCCAGCACACAUCGGGCGUGUUCGGGAAAAUGUUAUGGAUUUUGGCCGGGGAAUAGUGCCAUCUGGAUAUUCUCUUAUAUCCACUUUCUUGGAUUUGAGUGCAUGUGGACGUCGUGUGAAUAUGUGAAAGGGCAGUCCGCCACUGAGGCAACGUGAUUUGUACAUUGAGGUCUGUUAGCCAGGAUUCUGUGAAGGGUGGCAAUUUGGUUUUAUGUUCGGUCAUCAGAAGUUUAUAAAAGGUCGAAAGUUGUUUGGUUUUGGGGGUAUUGGUUAGGCAGUGUGUCUCAAAAUCGGAGAGAGUGCGGGAACCCCCUAGUAAGUUCGUGUUGGCUCUUAAGAAAUGCGUCAGCUGGGCGUAGUGAAAUGCUUGUAGUGUAUGUGGGGUGGCAGGGCCCACCAGAUCACUCAGUGUUCGUAUGGAGUUGUUCUCAACCACUGAGCCCAACGUCAAGUAGGGAGCGUCCAGCAUUUUAGAAUAGCGUUGGUAUAUCCCGGGAUGCAUACCGGGAGGGAAUAGUGGGUUGCAGGUGAUAGGAUAGAGUGGAGAGGGGUGAGGGGAGAGACUCUCAGCCUCCCGUAUGUUCACCCAUAUCUUAAGCGUGGGGAGGAUGGUGGGGUGUGCGGAGCAACAGGAAAGCAAUUUUGAGG